AGUAAACAGAACCCUGGCUAUGAACCAUCUCAGCCCCUCAGAAGCCACGGAGGUCCAUUUUCCCAGGUAACCAUCCCUGACACCCAAGCGUAAAUGAGCUCUCCUUGCCGGGGGCUUCCUGUGAGUCUGUGCUGUAAGAGAAUAAUGAUUAGGGAAGUGUGAAUCGCAUGGGAUGGCCCUAGGAGGGCUUUCUGGAAGAGGUGGUGUUACAGAGAAUGUGAAGGAGACAGUAGACCAGAGAGAAAUAUGGUAGGAAAGUCAGAGAAGUCUGCAAGGGAUGACAGUAUCAAUUAGAAAAAUGACAAACAGGCAGAAAUGCUAUAGACCUAUAUCUAACAAGGUCUCGAUGUGGGCCUAAGGUGUUUCUAAAGUGCACCCUCCAUUGCAAAUAUGCCUACCUUGGUAAUCAUUGAUUCCAUGGUUUAUUUUUUUCCUGAGCACCCUUAUGCACUGAACUUGGGAAUAUAGAGAUGAUUGAGCUUAUACUUCAAUUAGGGGAGAUAAAUAAUAAACAGGCAAAUACAAGGAAAAGAUACAGAGCAGGAGAGACAGAGUGGGCAGCACAGGGGAUCUUUGAGCUUAGGCGGAGAAACCAAUCUGGAGGGAGAAUCUUGCCUGAGGGGGCGUGAGUACAGAUCUCCUCCCCUUGGAAGGCGUGGCCAUGAUGGAGACAGCCCCACGUGACCCAGAGUCUCCCCAGCAGCCGGUAGCGGGGCAGUGCCACUCAGCAAAUGUCUGUUCCCAGUGCGUUAGCGUGGAGUCAAGGGAUAAGACAGGCAAACGAAUAGCAACCAAGAUGAUCCCUCAGUAUAAAGUGGAUGAAAUGGGGAAUUCAUGGGCAUCUAGGGAAGCGGAGAAGACCUUUCAAUGGAUCCUUCCGAGGAAACCCGAGAUUAGACGGAGAUCUGACAACAGCCACAACCCUGCGAGGGAUCUGGGGCGAGCCGCCAUCGAGGCCGGACCGAGGAGGAGGAGGAGGAAGAAAAGCUGCGGAGGUGGAGGAGGAGGAGGGGAAGAGGAGGAGGAAGACGAAGAAGAAAAAGAAGAAGCCCGCUGCCUCCCCAGGAUUGCUUUUUUCUUCCUUAUCUUUCCGCGCGCGUGUGCGUGCGGCGCGUGUGCGCCCCUCGUCCUUCCAUCUGAACCCGGUCUUGGAUGUUUAAUAAAGAAAUCAAGUGUCUCACCAGUCACCACAAAAAAAAAUCAAAACCAAAAAAUAUAUAUAUAUCCAAAAGCAAAAACAAAAACAGAGAGAGGAAAAAAAAAAA
rnacentral:lncRNA from 1 species